rnacentral:rRNA from 1 species
AUUGAACGCUGGCGGCAUGCCUUACACAUGCAAGUCGAACGGCAGCACGGGAGCAAUCCUGGUGGCGAGUGGCGAACGGGUGAGUAAUAUAUCGGAACGUGCCCAGUCGUGGGGGAUAACGUAGCGAAAGCUACGCUAAUACCGCAUACGAUCUAUGGACGAAAGCGGGGGAUCGCAAGACCUCGCGCGAUUGGAGCGGCCGAUAUCAGAUUAGGUAGUUGGUGAGGUAAAGGCUCACCAAGCCGACGAUCUGUAGCUGGUCUGAGAGGACGACCAGCCACACUGGAACUGAGACACGGUCCAGACUCCUACGGGAGGCAGCAGUGGGGAAUUUUGGACAAUGGGGGCAACCCUGAUCCAGCAAUGCCGCGUGCAGGAUGAAGGCCUCGGUU